AAUUUUGGACAAUGGGGGAAACCCUGACCCAGCCAUCCCGCGUGUAUGAUGAAGGCCNNNGGGUUNUAAAGUACUUUUGGCUGNGAANAAAAGGUACCUCUUAAUACGAGGUACUGCUGACGGUAUCUGCAGAAUAAGCACCGCCUAACUACGUCCCAGCAGCCGCGGUAAUACGUAGGUUGCAAGCGUUAAUGGGAAUUACUGGGCGUAAAGCGUAUGUAGGGGGUUCGGAAAGGAAGAUGGGAAAUCCCAGGGCUCAACCUUGGAACUGCAUUUUUAACUGCCGAGCUAGAGUAUGUCAGAGGGGGGUAGAGUUCAACGUGUAGCAGUGAAAUGCGUAGAUAUGUGAAGGAAUACCGAUGGCGAAGGCAGCCCCCUGGGAUAAUACUGACGCUCAGACACGAAAGCGUGGGGAGCAAACA
rnacentral:rRNA from 1 species